AGAGCCUGAAUCAGUGUGUGUGUUAGUGGAAGCGUCUGGAAAGGCGCGCGAUACAGGGUGACAGCCCCGUACACAAAAAUGCACAUGCUGUGAGCUCGAUGAGUAGGGCGGGACACGUGGUAUCCUGUCUGAAUAUGGGGGGACCAUCCUCCAAGGCUAAAUACUCCUGACUGACCGAUAGUGAACCAGUACCGUGAGGGAAAGGCGAAAAGAACCCCGGCGAGGGGAGUGAAAAAGAACCUGAAACCGUGUACGUACAAGCAGUGGGAGCCUCUUUUAUGGGGUGACUGCGUACCUUUUGUAUAAUGGGUCAGCGACUUAUAUUCUGUAGCAAGGUUAACCGAAUAGGGGAGCCGAAGGGAAACCGAGUCUUAACUGGGCGUUAAGUUGCAGGGUAUAGACCCGAAACCCGGUGAUCUAGCCAUGGGCAGGUUGAAGGUUGGGUAACACUAACUGGAGGACCGAACCGACUAAUGUUGAAAAAUUAGCGGAUGACUUGUGGCUGGGGGUGAAAGGCCAAUCAAACCGGGAGAUAGCUGGUUCUCCCCGAAAGCUAUUUAGGUAGCGCCUCGUGAAUUCAUCUCCGGGGGUAGAGCACUGUUUCGGCAAGGGGGUCAUCCCGACUUACCAACCCGAUGCAAACUGCGAAUACCGGAGAAUGUUAUCACGGGAGACACACGGCGGGUGCUAACGUCCGUCGUGAAGAGGGAAACAACCCAGACCGCCAGCUAAGGUCCCAAAGUCAUGGUUAAGUGGGAAACGAUGUGGGAAGGCCCAGACAGCCAGGAUGUUGGCUUAGAAGCAGCCAUCAUUUAAAGAAAGCGUAAUAGCUCACUGGUCGAGUCGGCCUGCGCGGAAGAUGUAACGGGGCUAAA
rnacentral:rRNA from 1 species